rnacentral:rRNA from 1 species
AACGCGAAGAACCUUACCAAGGCUUGACAUCCUAAGAAUCCUAAAGAGAUUUGGGAGUGCCCUUCGGGGAACUUAGAGACAGGUGGUGCAUGGUUGUCGUCAGCUCGUGUCGUGAGAUGUUGGGUUAAGUCCCGCAACGAGCGCAACCCCUAUUGUUAGUUGCUACCAUUAAGUUGAGCACUCUAGCGAGACUGCCGAGGUUAACUCGGAGGAAGGUGGGGAUGACGUCAAAUCAUCAUGCCCUUUAUGCCUUGGGCAACACACGUGCUACAAUGGCCGGUACAAAAAGCUGCAAACUCGCGAGGGGGAGCUAAUCUUUAAAAACCGGUCCCAGUUCGGAUUGUAGGCUGCAACUCGCCUACAUGAAGCUGGAGUUGCUAGUAAUCGUGAAUCAGAAUGUCACGGUGAAUGCGUUCCCGGGCCUUGUACACACCGGUACUA